rnacentral:rRNA from 1 species
GACGAACGCUGGCGGCGUGCCUAAUACAUGCAAGUCGAGCGGACGGAUGGGAGCUUGCUCCCAGACCGUCAGCGGCGGACGGGUGAGUAACACGUUGGCAACCUGCCUGUAAGACUGGGAUAACUCCGGGAAACCGGGGCUAAUACCGGAUAACUCUUUCCCUCACAUGAGGGAAAGCUGAAAGAUUGCAUCUCGCUAUCACUUACAGAUGGGCCCGCGGCGCAUUAGCUAGUUGGUGAGGUAACGGCUCACCAAGGCGACGAUGCGUAGCCGACCUGAGAGGGUGAUCGGCCACACUGGGACUGAGACACGGCCCAGACUCCUACGGGAGGCAGCAGUAGGGAAUAUUCAGCAAUGGACGAAAGUCUGACGGAGCAACGACGCGUGAGUGAUGAAGGUUUGCGGAUCGUAAAACUCUGUUGUCAGGGAAGAACAAGUACCGGAGUAAAUGCCGGUACCGUGACGGUACCUGAACAGAAAGCCACGGCUAACUACGUG